rnacentral:rRNA from 1 species
CGAAAGCCUGACGGAGCAAUACCGCGUGAGGGAGGAAGGCUUUUGGGUUGUAAACCUCUUUUCUCAAGGAAGAAAAAAAUGACGGUACUUGAGGAAUAAGCAUCGGCUAACUCCGUGCCAGCAGCCGCGGUAAUACGGAGGAUGCAAGCGUUAUUCGGAAUUAUUGGGCGUAAAGGGUCCGCAGGUGGUAAUUCAAGUCUGCUGUCAAAGACCGAAGCUUAACUUCGGAAAGGCGGUGGAAACUGAAAAACUAGAGUACGGUAGGGGUAGAGGGAAUUUCCAGUGUAGCGGUGAAGUGCGUAGAGAUUGGAAAGAACACCAGUGGCGAAGGCGCUCUACUGGACCUGUACUGACACUGAGGGACGAAAGCUAGGGUAGCG